rnacentral:rRNA from 1 species
UACGUAGGGUGCAAUCGUUGUUCGGAAUUAUUGGGCGUAAAGCGGGUGUAGGUGGUUUGUUACGUCAGCUGUGAAAUCGCUAGGCUCAACCAAGGAAGUGCAUCGGAAACUGGCAGGCUAGAGUACGGCAGAGGGGGUUGGAAUUCCUGGUGUAGCGGUGAAAUGCGUAGAUAUCAGGAGGAAUACCAAUGGCGAAGGCGGCCUCCUGGACCGUUCCUGACGCUGAGGUGCGAAAGCGUGGGGAGCAAACAGG